rnacentral:rRNA from 1 species
UGGGGAAUUUUGCGCAAUGGGGGAAACCCUGACGCAGCAACGCCGCGUGAGUGAUGAAGGCCUUCGGGUCGUAAAGCUCUGUCGGAGGGAACGAAACCUUCCGGGGUGAACAAUCCCGGGAUUUGACGGUACCCUCAAAGGAAGCACCGGCUAACCACGUGCCAGCAGCCGCGGUAAUACGUGGGGUGCAAGCGUUGUUCGGAAUUACUGGGCGUAAAGCGCGUGUAGGCGGCCAAACGGGUCCGGUGUGAAAGCCCUCGGCUUAACCGAGGAAGUGCGCCGGAAACUAUUUGGCUAGAGUACAGGAGAGGAGGACGGAAUUCCCAGUGUAGAGGUGAAAUUCGUAGAUAUUGGGAGGAACACCGGCGGCGAAAGCGGUUCUCUGGACUGUAACUGACGCUGAGACGCGAAAGCGUGGGGAUCAAACAGGAUUAGAUACCCCGGUAGUCC